GGCUAAAUUUAGCCAACAGAUGGGAAACCAACAGGUGCUUAAGAAGAGGAAUGAAAAAGAAAAUAUUAAUUCAAAUUUGCAAACCACUCUUUUAAAGAGCUCUAGUCCUAACAGAAAUCUAGGAGCAAAGUCAAAUUUGAUUUCUACAAAUUCACUCCUACAAGCUGCAACACUGAAUUCUCGAAUGUACAAAGCAUUGGACCCAAAGAAUGCUGGACAGGGUUGAAGUACACGGAAAACUGCACAUAC